rnacentral:rRNA from 1 species
AGUGAACGUUGGCGGCGUGGAUUAGGCAUGCAAGUCGAGCGGGAGUAGCAAUACUCCAGCGGCGAAAGGGAGAGUAAUGCGUAGAUUACCUACCUCCAGGCCCGGGAUAGCCGUGGGAAACUGCGGGUAAUACCGGAUAAUGUCUCCGGACCAAAGGUGUGAUUCCGCCUGGAGACGGGUCUGCGUCCUAUCAGCUAGUUGGUGUGGUAACGGCUUACCAAGGCGACGACGGGUACGAGGCGUGAGAGCGUGUCCUCGCUCACUGGGACUGAGACACUGCCCAGACACCUACGGGUGGCUGCAGUCGAGAAUCUUCGUCAAUGGGCGCAAGCCUGAACGAGCGACGCCGCGUGCGGGAUGAAGGCCUUCGGGUUGUAAACCGCUGUCAGAGGGGAUGAAAUGCCGGUGGGUUCUCCCAUCGGUUUGACAGAUCCUCAGAGGAAGUACGGGCUAAGUUCGUGCCAGCAGCCGCGGUAACAC